AUUGAACGCUGGCGGCAGGCCUAACACAUGCAAGUCGAGCGGAUGACGGGAGCUUGCUCCUUGAUUCAGCGGCGGACGGGUGAGUAAUGCCUAGGAAUCUGCCUGGUAGUGGGGGACAACGUUUCGAAAGGAACGCUAAUACCGCAUACGUCCUACGGGAGAAAGCAGGGGACCUUCGGGCCUUGCGCUAUCAGAGGAGCCUAGGUCGGAUUAGCUAGUAGGUGAGGUAAUGGCUCACCUAGGCGACGAUCCGUAACUGGUCUGAGAGGAUGAUCAGUCACACUGGAGCUGAGACACGGUCCAGACUCCCACGGGAGGCAGCAGUGGGGAAUAUUGGACAAUGGGCGAAAGCCUGAUCCAGCCAUGCCGCAUGUGUGAAGAAGGUCUUCGGAUUGUAAAGCACUUUAAGUUGGGAGGAAGGGCAGUAAGCUAAUACCUUGCUGUUUUGACGUUACCGACAGAAUAAGCACCGGCUAACUCUGUGCCAGCCGCCGCCGUAACAC
rnacentral:rRNA from 1 species